CACUAAGAAGCUACACAGCAUUAGCCUUUUAAGCUAAAGAGGGGGUAAUCUACCCCCUUAGUGA
rnacentral:tRNA from 1 species